CUGUGGGCUCUUUCCUCUUCCAGACCGACGCUGACAGCGACCUGGUGGGGGACACGUGUGACACCAACGAGGACAGCGAUGGGGACGGGCAUCAGGACAGCAAGGACAACUGCGCCCAGGUGCCCAACAGCUCCCAGCUGGAUUCGGACAACGACGGAUUUGGGGACGACUGCGACGGCGACGACGACAACGACGGCAUCCCGGAUUACGGGGCGCCGGGACCCGAUAA